AUGAUAUUUCUUAAUUUAUUUUGCAGUUCUUGGCACAGGGAGUAUUGGUUUAGGUUAGCUAUCAACUUAUUCAAUAGCACAAUCGCCCUGAUUUGAUGAGAAGACAGACUGAGAGAGAUGUGUCUGUGUUUUGCCCCCUUAAAACCAGGAAGUAAAAAGAGGAACUGGCUGGCCUUAAGGGAACAGUGAUUCUUUUAGGUGCCUGGGGAAGUGUUUCCUGAAAGAGGUAUGGGAGCCCAAGAGAGCGAGAUAUUGGAACUCUGACAGCCAACUGCUUAGAAAUCAUCCUAACAGGGGGCUGAGGAUGGAUGAGAAACCUGAGGUGUGAGUGUCCCCUUAGUAGUUUGAGCAUAUGUUUUUGUUUUUGUUUUGUUUUUUUGCUUUUUAGGGCCGCCCUCGUGGUAUAUGGAGCUUCCCAGGCUAGGGGUCUAAUCAGAGCUACAGCUGCCAGCCUAUACCACAGCCACAGCAAUGCCAGAUCCGAGCCAUGUCUGCGACCUACACCACAGCUCACGGCAACGCUGGAUCCUUAACCCACUGAGUGAGGCCAGGGAUUGAACCUGCAACCUCAUGGUUUCUAGUCAGCUUCAUUUCCACUGCACCAUGACAGGAACUCCCAAAAAACCCACUUUUAACAAUAGUAAUUCUUCCAUUUAUUUAUUUUUUAACUUAUAACUAGUCUGCCUUCAUAUAAUAUGAGGGAUCUUUAUCUGGUGGGGAGGUAUCUAACCCAUGUUUGUCUCUAAUCAAUCUGCCCAUCUUAGGCUACUCUGCUCCCAGGGGUGGUUUUCCUCUGGAUUUGCUAGUCAAGCCUGGUCUUUGUGUUGACAGUUUCUCUGACUCUUGGUUACAGGGCGGCUUUUCUUUUCUUUUCCUUUUUAGGGCCAUACUCGUGGCAUGUGGAAGUUCCCAGGCUAGGGGUUGAAUCAGAGCUAAAGCUGCUGGCGUACACCACAGCCACAGAAAUGCAGGAUCCCAGCCGAGUCUGCAACCUACACCACAGCUCAUGGCAGUGCCGGAUCCUUAACCCACUGAAUGGGACCAGGGAUUGAACCUGAAUACUAGUCAGGUUCAUUACCUCUGAGCCACAAUGGGAACUCCUUCAGGGGCUUUUCUAGAGAGUGAGUUCCUUGAGGGCUGCAGGGAGGUCACGCUGGUUUGCACAAGGUGGUUCUCUGUGGCUGGAGGUCAUGCUGGUUUGAACAUGGUGGUUCUGCAUGGCUGGUUUUGCAUCUGUGCUCAGAUUACCUGCUUUUUUGUCUUCAAAGUAGAAAAAUACACCAGCCUCACACCCCUUUAAUCAGCACCCACUGGAAGUAUUUGUGGAUGUGUGUACUGGGUUGGGCACCUUGACCAAGACUGUGUGGGGCACACACUGUGAGCAUCGCCUUUUCCCUCCUGUCCCUUUCACUUACCCUCCACUCAGACUCCAUUUCCCCUAAUACCUCGGACCCUCAGACCUCCAGUCCCUCCUCUGGAGUGUGCAUCCACUCACCUCUCACCUGGCAAGUUCCUUCCUGGUCAAAUGCUUCCUCUCUGAAGCUUCCUCUGGCCCUCGAGGCAGAGGCGGGCCUCCCUUCUUUAUAGGUAUCUAUUUAUUCUCUCACGUGGUUAGCUAUUGAUUAAUUGAGGGUGUACUAUGUGCCAGGCAGAGGUUACAGGGAUUCAUUAAAAAAAAACAGCCCUUUCCCUAAAGGAGUUCAGAGGCUGGCUAGAGAAACAAAGAACAUGCUAAAUGCUUUAGGGAAGCACUGAGGGGGAGCUCCUCACCUGCACUGGGGGCCAGAUGACAGGUUCAGGUGGAAGGACCGGCCUGGGCAAAGGCACAGAGCAGAGAAAUAACGUGAUGUGGAGGACAGUGGCAAGCAGUUGGUUGCACUGGAAUGUAGGCAAGGGUUAGAAAAUAUAGGGCUUUCUAGUAGGUUGAACCAUAUGAAAUGGUCAUCUUCAUAGGUCAAAACAAAAAUGCCUGAUAUCAUCAUGUUUUCAUAUGGUUCAAGCUAAUAUGUUAUCCUAGGGUCUUAGAUCUUAGUGUUUCCCAAAUUUCUGCCAUUCUUGAACCACUUUUUUGAUUUUAACUACUGAGUAUCCACUUAAUUUUUAUGUAAAGAGACUCAUCUUUGGAGCUCCCCUCGUGGCGCAGUGGAAACAAAUCCGACCAGGAACCAUGAGGUUGCGGGUUCGAUCCCCGGCCUUGCUCAGUGGGUUAAAAAUCUGGUGUUGCCGUGAGCUGUGGUGUAGGUCGCAGACACGGCUCAGAUCCCAAGUUACUGUAGCUCUGGCAUAGGCCAGCGGCUACAGCUCUGAUUAGACCUCUAGCCUGGGAACCUCCAUAUGCCACAGAUGUGGCCCUAAGAAGACAAAAGAAAAAAAGAGAGAGAGAGAGCGAGAGGGAGAGAGACUCAUCUUUAAAAAAAAACAAAAGCAAAAACCAAAAAAAACCUUAAAUUUAAUUUAAAAGGAAACUUUACCUGGCUGGAUUUGUCUUAAGAAAUAAAUAAUGUAGAACAAGAGACCAAAAAAUUAAAAAAAUAAAAGGAAACUAUGUCAAAAUGAAAAAAAAAAACAUUAUUGCUUGACACAAAAAGAAGCUAAUUGUAAAAAGAAACUCAAUGAAAACAAAACUCUUUCUAGAUCCUACUGCCUGGCUUGCUCAGCCUAAAACAAACAAAAGGAGUGUAAGAAAUUGUUAGAGAAGUGUGCAGAGAGAGAGUUUGAGAGAUUAGACAUCUUUAAAGAGCCCAGGAAGGUUCACAGCAGCAGGAAUUUAGAGGAGAAGGUGGAAUCAAGAAAUGUCUGAGGAGCUCCCGUCGUGGCUCAGUGGUUAACGAACCCAAACAUCCAUGAGGAUGGGGGUUCGAUCCCUGGCCUUGCUCGUGAGUUAAGGAUCCUGCAUUGCCAUGAGCUGUGAUAUAGGCUGCAGAUGUGGCUUGGAUCCUUCCUUGCUGUGGCUGUGGCAUAAGCCAGCAGCUACAGCUCCAAUUUGACCCCUAGCCUGGGAAUUUCCAUAUGCUGCGGGUGUGGCCCUCAAAAGACAAAAAGACAAAAAAAAAAAAAAAAA
rnacentral:lncRNA from 1 species